GACUCCUUUCUCUGUGAUAACUGCAGCUUGUGUCACAUUAACACACAAAACCAGCCAGUACACUCACGUUGAGCCAGAACUUUGACCUUGCAUAUUCCAUGUAUUUAAUAACACCCAUCUAAGAGUCAUUUACCUACUUUAUUAUAUACAAAAAAAGGUGUUAGUACAGGACCAUGUCCAGGGCCAUGAGACACAAAGUAUGAUAGGAAGCAAUGUUAUUUCUCUGAGAUGAGAGAAGACAUUGAGGAAAGCCUCACACUUGAAUUUCUGCUAAAAAAAAAAAAAAAAAAAAAAGAUGGUGAAAAAGAUGGUGAAUGUUUAUUGGCUGGACAAGAAAGGAAAAACCAGGCAGGCAGAGGGAGUAGAUUUUAAAGGAAAGACAGGAAUCUAAAUGAUACAACUGGGGGCUUGAAAGUCAUUGGGUAGUUGUAGCUCAGGAGUACAAAGGAGGUAAAACUGUCACCAAUGACAAGAGCACUGGGCCAGAACAUAAAGAAUUUUAUUGACACACCAUGCUCAAGAAUUUGCAUUUCCUCAUAAUGCAAUAGGAGUGUACUGAGUAGUUUGAACGAAACUGCAAAGUACAUUUAAAUUUUACCACUCUGCCAAACACUGAAAAUAUCAAUUCAUAAAGGAUGGCACAGGAAAGGAAGGAAGUGGCAGUUGAGUAUGGAGAUGGAGAACUGGUCUAACCAGUUCAGGUCAGUGUGUAAAAGGAAGAAAUACCACCAACUGAUAGAGGGCGGGGGAAAGCAUGUGGGCAAAAAUGUGGGUAUCCUGCAGAGGGACCAUACAUAGUGCUUGAUUAUAUGUGCUGGAGUUGUUUGCAUAAGGCAUAAAUAGGCAUGCCAAGCAAGGGGUUGAGAUUCAAGGACUGAAUUACAAAAGAAUCCUUUUGUUAUACAGCUCUGCCAACAUUCAAUAUGGAUGGGGAAGGCCCAUGUAUUAUUGAGAGUCAUUUUUGUCAGUGGUAUAGCCACUGACAAGACGUUCUUGCUCAAGUUAAUAACUCUCAGACCCACAAUUUGACAAGAAACUCUAAUUAAACUCAGUGAAAGUAUACUUUCAUAAAAGAAAGUAUGACCUGCAUUUGUUGAAAAGAAGGGUUCUAGAAAAGAGGGAAUCUGAUGAGAAAGGGGAAUCUGUUUUAAAAUUAACUAACAUUCAUUUUAUAUAUGUGCAAAACUGUUAAGCAAAAAUAAAAUGAAUAUAAAUGCAUCUUAAACUGGGGGUGAAUACUCUAUACAUUUUUCAGCAGACCAAAAGAGCAGAUGAUUGUCUAGAAAGAAUAUAGAAAAUAGUGAUCAAGUAAGAACUCCAUGGAACAUCAAUAUGUCUCUACCAUAUUAAGGUUCUUUAUGUUAAGUCAACAAUUGACUCCUAGAAUUGAAGAUGUAGCUCAGUAAUAAAGGCUCUGGAUUCAAUGUCCAGAAGUGCUAAGAAUUCAACAAGAAAGGACAAAAAGCACUUGUUUGUUUAUAUACAACUAGCUUACAUGUAUUGAGAAUAAAGAGUGAUUCUGUUUCAAAUAACUUUCCCUCUGAUCUCAGCUAUCCCAUACAUGUUCUGCUUGGUGCCUUGAAAUGAGAUAAACUUCCUCUUAAUGAAUCACUCCAAUUGUAAUGUUGCUAUUUCAAGUGAGUCAGUAUACAGUUUCUCUUUCUAGUGUUACCUGCUGUGUUAGCUACUUUUCUGUUGCUUUAAUAAGCACCAUAAGGCAAUUUAAGAAAGGGGCAGUUUAUUUUUUCUCAUGGUUUCAGGGGAAUAAGCUUUUGGAUGAUAGCAGAGGCUCACAACAACAGGCUGUAUUGUGCCAGCAGGAACACAAAGCUGGGACCUCAAAUCUCAAAUCACAGCAGAAGACAGAGAGUAUAAAAUAGAAGUAAGUAGGCAAGAUUUUACUCUCAAAACCUGCUUCCAGUGACAUGCUGCCUUCAGCCAAGAUAUAACUCCAAAAUGUCCCCAAACAGCCAUCUACUGUGGACCAGUGUUCACGUGCCCAAAACUAUGGGGACACAAUUUUUAUCCUAACUACUACACCUGCGUUCCUGAAUAUGCAAUGCCAUGUACCAGUCUUAUAGGCUAGGGAGCAAAUUACAUGAGAGAAGAGGCCUGUAAUAAAGGGGACUUAAGGAAAGAUGGCUGACAUUUUUGAGGUUGCAGUCCAUCAUUGUAAAGAAGUCUUGGCAGCGAAAUAUGAGACAGGUCAGAGGUCAAGAGUAGGAGGAAUGCUGGAAUUCAGCUCACCUUCUUUUUAUUUAGUUUAGGAUCCCAGCCAGUAGUAAUAUGGUGCCAUCCUCCACAUUCAGGGUCAAUCUUCCCUCUUCAGUUAAAUCUUUCUCUAGAAAAACCAUUGUAGACAUAGCCAGAGGUGUUUCUCUGGUAAAUCUAAAUCCAGGCAGGUUGAUGACAAAGAUUAACCAUCACAAAGGAAUUUAAGGAAGGUAGCAUUGUGACUACAUCUGCAUUUUAGAGAAAUCUUUCUGGAAAAUGUUUGAAAAACUAGUUUAAAAUGAUAUCUAUGCGAUUUGAAGGAAUUUAAAGACACAUGAAAUAGAAUAGACAUAUGUGAUACAAGUUAUGAAAAAGGACUUGGUAACCACAUGGGGUGUCCCAUGCUAUAACCUGCUGAGAGUAUAGAAGAUUGGCAUAAAGCCAAGAGAAGUCUGGUCUGUGUAGUGAGUUCAAAACCAGCUAGUAUUAUACUGUAAGACCGUGACUC
rnacentral:lncRNA from 1 species